AGGGGAAUAGCUCAAUUGGCAGAGCGUCGGUCUCCAAAACCGAAGGUCGGGGGUUCGAGGCCCUCUUCCCCUG
rfam:Oxalobacter formigenes HOxBLS genomic scaffold supercont2.1, whole genome shotgun sequence.